UACGUAGGGAGCAAGCGUUGUCCGGAAUCAUUGGGCGUAAAGCGCGCGUAGGUGGCUUCGUAAGUCCGUUGUGAAAGUCAAAGGCUCAACCUUUGAAAGCCGAUGGAUACUGCGGAGCUAGAGUACGGAAGAGGCGAGUGGAAUUCCUGGUGUAGCGGUGGAAAUGCGCAGAUAUCAGGAGGAACACCAAUAGCGAAGGCAGCUCGCUGGGACGUACUGACACUGAGGCGCGAAAGCGUGGGGAGCGAACAGG
rnacentral:rRNA from 1 species